AAGUCGUAACAAGGUUUCCGUAGGUGAACCUGCGGAAGGAUCAUUAAAGAGUUAGGGUCUCUCAGGCCCGACCUCCCAACCCUUUGUUUACUGAACCAUUGUUGCUUCGGUGGGUCCGUCUCACGACCGCCGGGGGGGACCCCUCCCUGGCCCGCACCCGCCGAUAGCCCAACCUUUAAAAUCCUUUAUGAAUCGUGUCUUAUGUCUAAAUCAUGAUAAUAAAUCAAAUUAAAACUUUCAACAACGGAUCUCUUGGUUCUG
rnacentral:misc_RNA from 1 species